GACGGAGGAUGCAAGUGUUAUCCGGAAUCACUGGGCGUAAAGCGUCUGUAGGUGGUCAAAUAAGUCAACUGUUAAAUCUUGAGGCUCAACCUCAAAACCGCAGUCGAAACUAUUAGACUAGAGUAUAGUAGGGGUAAAGGGAAUUUCCAGUGGAGCGGUGAAAUGCGUAGAGAUUGGAAAGAACACCGAUGGCGAAGGCACUUUACUGGGCUAUUACUAACACUCAGAGACGAAAGCUAGGGUAGCAAACAGG
rnacentral:rRNA from 1 species